rnacentral:rRNA from 1 species
CCUACGGGUGGCAGCAGUCGAGAAUUUUUCUCAAUGGGGGAAACCCUGAAGGAGCGACGCCGCGUGGAGGAUGAAGGUCUUCGGAUUGUAAACUCCUGUCAUUGGGGAACAAACCACUGUGGUUAACUGCCAUGGUGCUGAUAGUACCCGAAGAGGAAGAGACGGCUAACUCUGUGCCAGCAGCCGCGGUAAUACAGAGGUCUCAAGCGUUGUUCGGAUUCAUUGGGCGUAAAGGGUGCGUAGGUGGUUCUGUAAGUCGGAUGUGAAAUCCCGGGGCUCAACCCCGGAACUGCAUUCGAUACUGCAGGGCUUGAGUGCUGGAGAGGAGAUCGGAAUUUACGGUGUAGCAGUGAAAUGCGUAGAUAUCGUAAGGAAGACCGGUGGCGAAGGCGGAUCUCUGGACAGCAACUGACACUGAGGCACGAAGGCCAGGGGAGCAAACGGGAUUAGAUACCCUAGUAGUC